rnacentral:rRNA from 1 species
AUUGAACGCUGGCGGCAUGCUUUACACAUGCAAGUCGAACGGUAACAGGCCUUCGGGUGCUGACGAGUGGCGAACGGGUGAGUAAUGCAUCGGAACGUGCCCAGAGGUGGGGGAUAACGCAGCGAAAGCUGUGCUAAUACCGCAUGUGAUCUGAGGAUGAAAGCGGGGGACCAAGCAGCAAUGUUUGGCCUCGCGCCUCUGGAGCGGCCGAUGUCAGAUUAGGUAGUUGGUGGGGUAAAGGCCUACCAAGCCGACGAUCUGUAGCUGGUCUGAGAGGACGACCGGCCACACUGGAACUGAGACACGGCCCAGACUCCUACGGGAGGCAGCAGUGGGGAAUUUUGGACAAUGGGCGCAAGCCUGAUCCAGCAAUGCCGCGUGAGGGAAGAAGGCCUUCGGGUUGUAAACCGCUUUUGUACGGAACGAAAAGGCUCUGGCUAAUACCUGGGGCUGAUGACGGUACCGUAAGAAUAAGCACCGGCUAACUACGUG